rnacentral:rRNA from 1 species
GUCUUAGUGAUCCGGUGGUUCUGUAUGGAAGGGCCAUCGCUCAACGGAUAAAAGGUACUCUGGGGAUAACAGGCUGAUACCGCCCAAGAGUUCAUAUCGACGGCGGUGUUUGGCACCUCGAUGUCGGCUCAUCUCAUCCUGGGGCUGAAGCAGGUCCCAAGGGUAUGGCUGUUCGCCAUUUAAAGAGGUACGCGAGCUGGGUUUAGAACGUCGUGAGACAGUUCGGUCCCUAUCUACCGUGGGCGUUGGAGACUUGAGAGGAUCUGCUUCUAGUACGAGAGGACCGAAGUGGACGAACCUCUGGUGUUCCGGUUGUCACGCCAGUGGCACUGCCGGGUAGCUAUGUUCGGAAGGGAUAAGUGCUGAAAGCAUCUAAGCACGAAGCCUCCCUCAAGAUAAGGUCUCCCUGAGAGUUUAACUCUCCUAAAGAGCCGUUAGAGACCAUGACGUUGAUAGGUUCGGUGUGGAAGCGCAGCGAUGCGUGAAGCUAACGAAUACUAAUUGCUCGUGAGGCUUGACUAUAUAACGCCAAAACAGUU